CAUUGUCCAUAAUGAAAUUGGACAAGUCUAGACUAAUGAUGGAAGUCAACUAUAUGUUGUCUUAUGGAGCUGCAGAGCCUUCUCUUUCUUUACUUCAGAGAUACAACAUCCUUGGAAUGCUGCUACCAUUUCAUGCAGCACACCUUGCUCAACAGUCUAACAAACAGUU